GAGCCAGAUCCAAAAUGUUUUGAAAAGAAGAAGGAAUUCUCUUCAUUGGUUUCAGCAGACUUUGGAUCAGGCUUGUAACAGACAAAACUCUGAAUCUGAACAAACCAGCAAAGCAUAGAUCCCAACUUCAGAUUGUCAUCUGAGUCCUGUGGUUUUCCUAGGCACAGGUCAUUUUGCCCUGGCAAUACUGGGAAAUGCAAGUGUUCAAAUUUGUGGAGCCUUAGUUACCUGCAUGGUGACAUCUCAUGAGAAGCCCCGAGGCCUGGCUGAACGCUGAGGAUAGUGCAGGGAAGAAAAUGUGGGCGUGUGGAGUGCACAUCUGGCGAGUCCUGGAGGAGUCAGGCUGUCUGUCACUCUACCAUCUGUGAUAGAACCAAAGACAAGAAUUUUGAACUUUCUCAUCAAGACAUGACAUGUAGUUCACCUCUGUCACUCUGUAACCAUGACAGCUGAGAGAGGGUGUCAUCUUAAUCAAAAA
rnacentral:lncRNA from 1 species